GAAAGAGGAGCCUCAAUCAUGGAGCUGCUCCUAAAAACCUAAAUCGUGAAAGCUGCUGACGCCGUUCUGCACCACUAAUGGAGAAUCGAUCAAAGGCAGAGAGGCCCGUGUUUUGAUUUCGAGGAGAAAGCUCGAGGAUUGAACGAGGAUAUGGCAAAGACGAUCCUCGGAGGAGGAUUGAAGGAGAAUCCGCGGGAGCUUGCGAUCAUGGAGUUGGAUUAGAGGGAGGUUCCGCGGGCGUGCAAUCGACAGCCAGGGCUCGUGUGGAGCGAUCCCGCAAGGGGGAUAUGGAGUCGUCGGGACAUUUAUGGGAAGAGUUAGGGUGAACGGAGGCUAGAAAUCGGAGCUCCAAGGAGGCGUCCCCAGGAUCUGAGCACGGCUCGUCGGCGGCGGGAUAUCGCCGGAGAAGAAGACCACCCAGCAGUUAGAGAGAGUUCGGUGAUAGUUCUGCAAACUUUUGAAAGUUAAGUGAUCUAUGGUGAAAUUUUUAUAAGUUUGUUAACGAUUCUAUACUUUCUGGAAGUUAGGUGAGUGAGCUGUAAUUAGUUGAUUAAUUAGGGUCUGUUCUGCAAUUUGAUUCUGAGAUUUGUCCAGCUGGGCAAUAAAAUGUUGAUUCUGCCCUGCAAGUUUCAGCAUUUACCAAAUAAUUACAGCAUAACUCGGCUGUUUGAGUUUCAAACGAUGUGCCGUCAAAAGAUCCAUUCGUAGCAACAAGGAGAAUCAUCUCGGAUAUAAUUCUGACAUGUCAGCUUGUUAAUUAGGCGGGUAGUUUAAAAAGGUAAAUUCUUUUCGUUGUAGUAGGUUAGGUUUUAAUUAAUUUGAUGUAUAUAAUUUAUGCCAUGAUUCCAUGAUUGAGUGUUUUAUUAAUGUCAUGUUACUACUUUGAUGUUGUGCAAGUUGUGCCUCCUAUAUAUUGAUAAGGUUAGACUAGCUAUAAUAUUAACAAUAAGAUAAGGUUAGACUAACGAUAACAUUGAAACGAUUAUGUUAGAAUUAGGACAAGUUACAAGAACCAUGAUACUAUGAUUCAUAAUUCACCUAACUUGAUUGACUUUAGCUUCAAUUUUUCAUGAUGAUUUAUUGAUGAUGAUUUGUUAUUGAUGAUUCCUUGAUGAUGAUUCUUUGUUGAUGAUUAAUUACUUGUUAUGUUAAGUUCUUGCUUACGAUAGGAUUAAAUAAAGAGGACUGACUUUAUGUAAUACGAUUACUAGUUAGUACUUAUGAUUCUAUAUAUGUCUUACUUUCCUAUGUUCAGUUAUAUAUGAUGCUCCUAUGUGCCUAUAUGAUUAAGUUAGCUAGAUAAUAAUAUGAUAGUAGAAGUUAGACAACCUUAUUAGUGGUUGCAUAAUAGAAGAAAUGAAUGUUAGCUCUUUAUGAUAAGAUGAAGUGUAAUGUGAAUAAUGUGUUAGUAGUGCCUUCAUAUUAAUUGUUAUGAUUGGAUCAUGAAAGACUGACCCUAGAACCACCCACUAGGGUGUGUUGAUAGUUGAUGCAGGAGCAGAGUGCUUUGAUUCGGAAAAUGGCGAUGUGGACUUGGUUUUAAGACAGUUUUUUUUUCAAGAGUUCAUAACGAGACUUGAUUUCAUUUUCAUGUCGGACUUAUGCUAUAGUAUUUUCGCGGUUGUUAAAGUAUUUAGGUUUGUUUUUUUACGUUAUUAUCUUUAUGUAUUCAAAUUCAGAUUUGAAUUCCUUUUCAAAGAAUCCCUACGGGGCAAUUUAGUCAUUUAAUAAAUGCAAGAAGUUUAAGGUGUUUCACUAUUCCUUUAUAACAGUUUGAACGAUGGUGAAAAGAUUUACGCGUUGACUGAUAAUUAUAUCAAUUGUUUCAAUUAUUACAUCC
rnacentral:lncRNA from 1 species